GACGAACGCUGGCGGCGUGCCUAACACAUGCAAGUCGAGCGAAUGAAGUUCCUGCGGGCACGGAUUUAGCGGCGGACGGGUGAGUAACACGUGGGCAACCUGCCUCAUAGAGGGGAAUAGCCUUCCGAAAGGGAGAUUAAUACCGCAUAAGAUUGUAGUACAGCAUGGUACAGCAAUUAAAAGAGCAAUCCGCUAUGAGAUGGGCCCGCGGCGCAGUAGCUAGUUGGUGAGGUAACGGCUCACCAAGGCGACGACGCGUAGCCGACCUGAGGGGGCGAUCGGGCCCCCUGGGACAGAGACGAGGCGCAGACCACUAGGGGAGGCAGCAGGGGGGAAUAUUGCACACUGGGGGAAACCUGGAUGCAGCAACGCCGCGUGAGUGAUGUGGGCCUUCGGGAUGAAAAGCUCUGUCUUCAGGGACGAUAAUGACGGUACCUGAGGAGGAAGCCACGGCUAACUACGUGCCAGCAGCCGCCGUAAAAC
rnacentral:rRNA from 1 species